GUGCUCACCUUGCUUCAGCAGCACAUGCACUGAAACUGGAACAACACAGAGAUUAGUGCGGCCCCUGAGCAAGGAUGACACGCAGAUUCGCGCGGCGUUCCAUAUCUGA